rnacentral:sRNA from 1 species
ACUCAACACUAUUCUAUUAUGAAGGAUGAGUCAUAGCUACUAAAGCAAGCCAACUUAGAUUGGAUCCUUGAACAGCUAGUUAAUCCUAUUUAUGUCAUAUUGGAGUUU